GCACUUUCCGAAAUUACCCCUCACUCCGCUCACAGCCCACUCGCUCACUCGCUCGCCUCUCUUCUCCCCAUCGCUCCCCUCUUCUCCCCAUCGCUCUCCCCGACUCCUGCCGGCAUCUCCCUGACUCCCCGUCGCCGGCCUCUCUAGCAUAUCUCCCCGUCGCCGCCACCUUUCUCCGCGUCCACAGCCGGCAUCCAUUCACGUCUGGCGUCCACUCACAGCCGGCGUCCAUUCACGCCCCACAUCCAAGGUCAAAGAAUGAUUUUUUUGCGCCGGCGACGAGCUUCUGGGCGACAGAGGCGAUGGAUUUGCGUGCGCCGGCGCUCGAUCUAGGCGAGGGAGGCGCUGGAUCUGCGCUCGUCGGCACUGGAUGCAUAGCGGAGGCCGAGCGGCGUAUUUGGAGAGGCGCGGGAGCAACUGGCGGAUCUGGAGCGGCUUGGUCGUCCUCACGGAUCUGUGUGCCGGACUCCACUACGGCUCUGAAGCCUUCACAAAGUUACUGAAAUCGUGUGAUUGUUGCUGUGCAAGCAAAGAUGAAGCUGAUGGAUCACCCCAGGCCUAGAGCAACUUGCUGAUGGAUUCUGGAGUAUGUGUGUGAAUUGCUGAAUGGAGUAGGAUGGUAAUGCUCUCCUUUGUAUCUACGCCAUGUUGCGGCUGAGCCACUGAAGCAGGUUCAUAUUUUCAGAGAACGAAAAUUGCAGGCAUCGAACAUACUCACAUUUUUCUUGCAGAUCCCACAUUUUUCUUUUUCUUGUUUUGAAUGGUUGGCGAUGAACUCUCGCAGUCUCACUCGUGGUUUCUACUCCUGAUUCAGUUAUUCUUGUGUGUUUAUUAUGCCGUAGUUGUCGAGACAUAAAGUUCCUCCUGAUUCAGUUAGUUGGUCCCGAUUUAAUCAUUUGAACAACUUCCUCCAUCUCAACAAGUAACUUAGCUGGAUACAUUUUGCACUCCAAUCAAGAGCUUACCACAAUCUCAGUUGGAUACAUUUUUCUACUUUAAGUAACUUUGCAAUCUCAAUACAUAUUUUGCAUACUUGUAUUACAGUUUGUUUAUCUACUGCAGGUAGAGUGCAGAGUAGCUUCUUAAUCUUGCAGUUCCCUUGCUAGUCAUGAAUGUUCAUUGCUUUGGCGAGGGAACUUCUGUAGUCGAACAUGUUUAUGUACUCCAGUCUUGUUCUGCAUGCUUAAGCAGUCAAACAUGUUUAGAUAUUCCAGUAGGAGUACUUGUAUCUCUGCAUAUACUCCAGUCUUGUUCAGUAGGAGCACUUGUAUCUCUACAUAUACUCCAGGCUUGUUCUGAAUUUGUUCACUUGCUUACCAGUCUUGUUAACUGAAAAGAAAAAAGGGGCCAAACAAGUUAACUUGUUUUGUUAAUUGCUUGAAACUCACUGUGCAAAUUGGUCCUCUCCUCUCUCUGUGUAAAUUUGUUGUGCAUGUUGAGUGUAAAUUUUCUGUAGCUUCUGUUAAAAAUAACUUAUUCUCAUGAAGCUUCUAUAGCUUCUUUUAAAAGUUGUCGUCUGUAGCUUUUGUUAACUUGUCUACUGAAACUUGGGCUACUGAAGCUUGUUAACUUGCAUAAUAUUGUGAACUUAAUUGUUGCUUGCAUAUUAAUGACAGCAAAAUCAUGAUAGGAGUAGUUUCUGUAAAAUCAUGACAUGCCAUACAAGCUUCUGUAAAAUCGUGUGGAUUUUCCUUAAAUUAAAAUUAAAAUCGUGUGGACUUGCUGCUUAGUUUUAAUUAAAAUUAGGAGUAGGAGUUGUUCUUGGAGUAGGAGUAGGAGUAGUUCUUGGAGUAUGUAGGAGUAGUUCUUGGUUAAUUAAAAUGAUCAUACAAAUGAUGCACUCCACACAAGUCUCUUCUCAAGGAGUUACAUAUACUCCGCACAAGCCUCAUCUCUAGGAUUUACAUAUACUCCACACAAACAAGGAGUUACACAUACUCCACACAAAUAAUCACAAGCAUCUUAACAAGCAACUCCUCAAGUAUCUCGACAAGCAUCUCAACAAGCAACUCCUCAAGCAUCUCGACAAGCAUCUCAACAAGCAACUCCUCAAGCAUCUGAACAAGCAUCUCGACAAGCAACUCCUCAAGCAUAUCAACAAGCAUCUCGACAAGCAUCUCAACAAGCAACUCCUCAAGCAUCUGAACAAGCAUCUCGACAAGAAACUCCUCAAGCAUAUGAAUAAGCAUCUCGACAAGCAUAUGAAUAAGCAUCUCGACAAGCAUCUCAACAAGCAACUCCUCAAGCAUCUCGACAAGCAUCUCGACAAGCAUCUCAACAAGCAACUCCUCAAGCAUCUCAACAACUAACUCCUCAAGCAUAUCAACAAGCAUCUCGACAAGUGGAGUGCAGUUGAGGUCUGGGACAACCAUCUUCUGCUGCUUUCAGUUCAUUCCUCUCUUUGCUACGUGGUCAUUGUUUCAGGACAGAUCGAGUUCGUUUCCAGCGACAACAGAGAGAUGUACUCCAGCAGAAGAUCAAAUGAUCAGAGAGAGGAGAUGAACCUGGGCACCAGCCGAACCCAGCAGCAGCUCCUGGACGUGGGAGAGGAGGAGCGCCUGCGCCUGGAUGCAGUGGCCGGAGGUGGGUACGGAGGUGGAGAUGGCGGAACAGCCUGUGCUCGCCUCCACCUGGGCGCGGGUCAGGAGGAGCCCCUGUGUGUGGGCGGCAGCAGAGCACUAGCUCUACUCCAGCGGCGGCAGCGCCUGGGCAGGGGGCGGAGGUGGAGAUGGAGGGCGGAGGUGGAGAUGGAGGUGGAGGGCGGAGGUGAGGGUGGAGGUGGAGAUGGAGCUGGAGGGAGGAGGUGAGGGUCGGUGGAGGUGGAGGGCGGAAGCGGAGGUGGAGGUGGAGGGCGGAGGCGGAGGUGGAAGACGAUCGAUCGGGAUUCAAAUUUUGAAGGGAUGGUAUUCAGGUCAAUUGUCAACUUUUCACCUGGUCGGAACACAAGCCCCAGCGACCUACAUUUCGGAACGGAGGGAGUAAUACAUUUUUUUGGCAUACUGUAUUGUUUCUUGAUUGUGUUAGCCUCAAACUUUUUGCCUUGCUGUUAUGUAAUUUCACUCUUAGUUUGUUAGCCAAUUAGGUGUCAAUUACUCAGGAAAUUCAGCUUCAAUUGGUUGGGAUCAGAUGGAAGGAUGUAAACUAUACUGAAGUUAUACAGUCGUCAAUCUGAAGCUUACCAAGGUCGGUAAUGGAAGGAGCUUGGGGUAUUUCUAAUCACAACAAGGUAACACACACAUUAAUAUUAGAUGGAGUGGAGAUAACAAAUGGGAGAACCACAAAGUGAAGGAAGACUAAGACGACUAGCAUGUUUGUGUAUCAUUUUUCCUAUUAUCCUUUGAAUUAGAUCGUAUUCCUGCUUUAUUCAUUUAAUAGCUUCAAUCCAUUAUAUCUUGGGCAAGCAAUGUGUUCUGACAUGGUUGUUGCCUUUCAAAGCAUCUUCAUUUUGGAAUCACCAUUCUUACUAUGUUUAUAUACAUUAACAUUUGACCAUCUCACAUAAUUCACAUUACCUAUUGUGUCCA